GGGCCCAUAGCACAACUGGUUAAUGCCGCCGCCUCAUAAGCGGUUGAUUGCAGGUUCAAGUCCUGCUGGGCCCA
rnacentral:tRNA from 1 species